rnacentral:tRNA from 1 species
GCCCAGGUGGCCUAGCUGGUUAGGGCGCCAGACUCAUAGGGUAAAUCUGAAGAGGCGCUUGUCUCCUGAGAAAUCUGGAGGUCACGGGCUCGAAUCCCGUCCUGGGCA